rnacentral:rRNA from 1 species
AGGGUUUGAUUAUGGCUCAGGAUGAACGCUAGCUACAGGCUUAACACAUGCAAGUCGAGGGGCAUCAGGAAGAAAGCUUGCUUUCUUUGCUGGCGACCGGCGCACGGGUGAGUAACACGUAUCCAACCUGCCGAUGACUCGGGGAUAGCCUUUCGAAAGAAAGAUUAAUACCCGAUGGUAUAUCUGAAAGGCAUCUUUCAGCUAUUAAAGAAUUUCGGUCAUUGAUGGGGAUGCGUUCCAUUAGGUUGUUGGCGGGGUAACGGCCCACCAAGCCGUCGAUGGAUAGGGGUUCUGAGAGGAAGGUCCCCCACAUUGGAACUGAGACACGGUCCAA